ACGAGAAGCAAGCCAGUAAACAGUGUGUCUCCAUGGCCACUGCUUCAGUUCCUGCCUUCCAGGUUCCUGACCUCGUUCCCCUUCAUGACGGACUCCAAGCUGUCAGGUCAUUCCAGAAGAAUUCUCCCCACCAAGCAGUUCUUUUCACGGUGGGGACAAGAAGAAAGCUUGCCGUGUACGGAACAUGGAAGUUCUACAGUCUUGCCCAGUUCAUUCCAUCACCCACAUCCCCUCAGAGGGUUUUCUCCUCUGAGGACUCUCAUCGAUCUGACUCUUUAGUUUGUAAUUUCAAGACUUGUGAGCUCAUCGUUGAAGAUUCCUCCCAAGCGCAUCUGCAGUGUCCUGACUAUGAAAACAGCCCUGGAAGCUUCAGCGCCUUUCUCGGCUCUGUCUGGGGCUAUCUAGGGACUUGAUCUCAGAGCAACGCGUCAUGAUUUGAAUGUGAAAUGUUCCCAGUGAGUGCACGCGCUGGAGCACUUGGUUCUCACUUUGGGGAGGGCAUUGAGGUGGAGCCUUGCUGGGAGAAGUGGGUCACUGGGUUGCAAAUGCAGUGUGACCAGCUGCCACGCCUUUUCAACCAUGGUGGGCUGUAUUCCGAGGAAACAAAAAUAAACCCUCCUCCCGG
rnacentral:lncRNA from 1 species